rnacentral:misc_RNA from 1 species
AAGUCGUAACAAGGUCUCCGUAGGUGAACCUGCGGAGGGAUCAUUACUGAGUGAGGGAGCAAUCCCGACCUCCAACCCUUUGUGAACGCAUCAUGUUGCUUUGGGGGCGACCCUGCCGUUUCGCGGCAUUCCCCCCGAAGGUCAUCAAAACACUGCAUUCUUACGUCGGAGUAUAAAGUUAAUUUAAUAAAACUUUCAACAACGGAUCUCUUGGUUCUG